rnacentral:lncRNA from 1 species
CCCCCAGCAUUUGGAAGUUCCCAGGCUAGGGGUUGAAUUGGAGCUACAGCUGCUGGCCUAUACCACAGCCACAGCAAGGCGGGAUCCGAGCCAUGUCUGUGACCUACACCACAGCUCACGGCAACACUCGAUCCCCGACGCAAUGAGCGAGGCCAGGGAUCGAACCCACAUCUUCAUGUUUUGGUACAUGUCCAAUAUUAAAAUGUUCAUUAUAGACUAUUAAGCACUAUACGAAAGUUAAACCCCUGUAGUUGCCUCUUUGGCAAGAUUUACGUUCUAAAAACAGCAUUUUUGUAUGUAUACAUCCAAAAUUACUCUUUAAAAGUCCUUAAAUAACAAUAAUUUCAGUUCAACUAGCUUUUUCCUAAUAUUGGAAUAUAUCACUCUUUCUUUGGUUGAACACCAAAUGAAGAAUUGUAUUUAACUUGUAUAUGGAUGAUGUUGUAAGAAAAACAUGCCCUGUAUUUUGAAAACUAUCAGCACCCUUAGUUCCAUGAAAUACUCACACAAAUAAGCAUGUGGGAAUGGGGAAUACUGCGUGAGACUGUUCACUUCUCACACCUCAUAUUAUUUAUGGACUAAAAACCAUAAUUAUGAACUUAGUACUAAUAGUUUUAUGAUCCAUAUUUCACUGGUUCCUGCCUUUCCCUUCUGAUGCAAGACCAGCUCCUUACAAAGUUCCCUGCCCAUAAUUUCUAAGAGCCCUUUGACAGUAUUUUACAUGAACUCAAGAACAAGCUUUGUCUGUGGCCACAUGGAUAUGUGCUGCUGAGUUUUCUGUUGCCUUUGAACCCUUCUGGCACUCACUGCUGAGCCAGUCCUGGUGAGCCAGGUCACCACCACCUUCUACUGGGUAUUUGCAUGAUCUCCAAUAUGGUCCUCAAGGAAUCAGAAUGCUUCUGUGUUUUCUGGGGUCUUCAUUACUGCAAAAUUAUAUCACAUUUCCUGCAGAAGUGUAAAUAAGCUCCAAUCACUCACCUUUGGAUAAUAUUUUUUGAUGUAAGGUAGAUUUUAGUGCACUUCUAUUUCUGGUAUGGUGCUUUCCAAGAGGAGUCUGUGAGUCAGCAUAAGAGUGUGAAUCUUCAAGAUAGGUAAGCAUUGUCCCCUCAAUCCAAGAGUAGCACUCAAAAUAGUUCUAGCUGGCAUAAUAUGGGGACUGACCAAUUGGAAUACUACCUAGUACCUUGUGGCAGUACAAAUUGAUUGAAAAGUAGCCUGGUCAAAACCCCUCCUUGAUGGCACCCAGACUUGUUGGCAGUCUUUCUCCCCAAACCCCUACGUAAAUCACCCUAUUGGCUGCCUAAAUCCACCAAUUUGCCAGGUAUGCCAAGAUAUGUUUGAACCCCAGUGGUGGACAGAGAUUUGUCCUAAGCUGUGAUUCUGUUAUAUUUGAAUGCAUCCAAUUUUUAAAAUUUGAUAAUCAAAUUAUAUUGUAGCAGCAAUAAUGGAAAGAUUUUAAUGGAAGAAAAAACUUUCAGAAAACCAACAAAUGAAUAAAUCAAAUGUUUUUAUUCUUGGGCAUCUCCUUGGAGUCCUCCUCCAUAUGCAAAUAUUUUAUAAGUAAUUUUAAUUUUCACCUUUUCUAUUGUAAUCAUAUUGCUCAUCUUGCCAGAAUUUACUGAGUUCCUGUUAUGUGCACACCAUCAACUGAGAUCAAGAGAAAUGCUUUAUAUCUCCAUGUAAUUCCAUUUAAGCAGGAAGAAAGGGUGUCUUUUGGCAACUCCUGUUGAUAAAUUUUUCACUCAAUGAUUUCUUUGGUACUUAGAAGUACUUUGGAACUUUAACUCCUUACGUGCUAGAUUAAAAGCUUAACCUCCAUAGAAUACUUUACUUACACAGAGUUCCAGCUGAUUUGGUUCUGUAGGAGAUUUGUUUUUAAUUCUGAAAGAGCCCAUACCCUUUUGACCUUGAAAAUACUUUUAAAAUGCAAUUGAACAAACCAUAGUUAGGUUUUAAAACAUAUACAGUAGUUCCUCCAGUUUGCUCUAAGCAUAUAUAGCACAGUCCUGGGCACGCAGUAGACACAUAAACAUUUCAUAAUCAAAUCAGGAUAUUAAAUAUUGUGUCUUCAUGUAUUUUCCAACACAAAUUAGCAAGAUUCAUGAAAUUGUAUAGAAUGAUGGCCAAAGCAUUUAAAAAUAAAUAUUAGAGUAACUAUAUUACUUUUGAUAAGAAGACUAAAUGUGAAAACUGUAUUCAAAUUGUCAAGAAAUAAUUAGAGAAGGUAGAAGGGUACUGACAGGAAGAUGUGCUCAGCUGUCUCAGACAUGCUGAUUCCUAAAAAAGAACAACAACAAAAAAAUCUGAGUUAUUAUUUUCCUGAAACUUUUAAAUUCUCCUUAAAAAGUAGUAAGAAUUUAGGGCUUUUUCCUAAAUUAUUACUUUUAUCUUGAAGUACUGAGUAUUACCAAUGUAUAUACAAUAUAAAUUAUAAAAAUAAUAAUAGACAUGGCAAAAUAUUAAUGGGUUUACAAAACUGAGCUAUAAACCCUCUGCCCUGAGAAUCCUUUUUGGUCUGAUAUCUGGUACUUCCAACUACUAUGGGUGUUAAACUGGAACACAAGUUCCUUGGGGCCUUGUGCAUUCUCUCCCAUUCCCUUUCAGAAUUCCAUCCCACAGGGCACAGGAAUGAUGUCAGAGCAAUGAUGCAUCUUGAUGGCCACAAUCCAAAUGAAACUGUCCUGACAGAGGAGGACAGGCCCUCUCUGCAUUCUGGAAUUCCUUCUUGGAUAAUCUACAGGACUUAAUUUUUUUUCAAGUGUCCCCCCUUCCCCCCAAGUUAGAGCUAUUCAGUAGCCAAGAAACAGAAUGACAGUUUUCUUGUAGCUUGCACAUUCUCUAUCAACCAAAUAUAAAUUAAAAACCUAGAGACUUCUAUUCUGAGAUGUGAGACCUAUUUCCAUGUGAACAAGAAAAUAUGACCAUUUCUGAUUUACUGCUGAUUAAUGAGUUCCUAAAGUAUUUAUUCCAACUGAGAAUUUUGCAGGCCUAUAUUUAACAUAUUUAAUGCACAUAAAAUAAGGCUGAAUUACCUAGAAUCUUGUAAAGAAUAUACUUAAAGUAUUCAAUCAGCACAUACUUAUUGUUUUGAAUUCAUGUGAAUUCAUUUAUUCAAUUUAAUGUAGAAAUAUUUAUACUCUUGUCUAAAGAAGCUCUUUCUUAAAAAUGUGAAUAGAGAUGGAGUAAAUGAAAUAAAAAUGAAACAGCUCAGAUGAAUAUAAUCAGUUACAAUGUAUUAACAACAUGAUUUUACCCUCUUUGGAGCAAAUAGAUGACAAGCAUAAACAACUAGAAGGAUUCAUUGAAGGUUUGUUUUCUUUUUAUCUUAGAUGGUAUACUCCUUUAGAUGUUAAAAUUAGGGUAUUUAAGUGAUGUGGGGCUUGAUAUGAAGCUUUUUUUUUUUUUUGGUUGCACCCACGGCAUAUAGAAGUUCCUUGGCUAGGGAUUGAACUGGCGCUACAGCUGUAACCUAAGCCACUGCAGUGACAACGCCAGAUCCUUAACCCACCGUGCCACAAGAGAACUCUGAUGGGAAACUUUUAAUACAAUCAGAGUCUACUUCAUAGUAGCAAUGUUUCAAACAAUGUCCCUCUUCUUUUUGGGUUGUUAUCCAUCAUUUUCCCAUGUGGGCACACCUCAUUGGUUAUACGAAGCAUGACCAAAUAUGCUGUCUUGUUACCCUGGGCACAUUUUCAGCAAUAGGAAAAACCAGUGAAUGUUACCUCAGAGACUCUCUUACAGUGACAAUGUCUUAAAUCUGCUAAAAUACCUCCCAUAAUUCUCCAUUAUCGACAAGGCAAAGUCCAGAUUUCUUGGUGUAACAUCCAAAGGUUUUUAAAGUUGGACUCCAAACUACUUUUUAAGCUUUAUCUUCUAUUAGUUUCCCCUAUCAGCUUUCUGUUCUAGCAGAACUGGUUUCCCUAAAGUCAAAUAAACAGACUCACAAUGUCCUUAAUUCCUCUGACAGUUCAACCCCCACGGAAGAGUUUGCUAAGAAGGGAGUUUUUCUGGCGAGUUGGAAAUGAAGUGGUGAAAAAUAAUUUAUUUCCUCUCUCCUUUCUUCAUUUCCAAAUCCUACUACUCAUCCUUUAUGAUCCACUUUAGUCUGAAAUGUUCUCCAUUUACCUAUUAUAAACAGGGCAGAAUAAGCAAUUCGUUUGAGCAUGAGUAACAACCAUAUUAGCAAAUUAUGUUCUGCUUUAUAAUGUUUUUAUGGAUUCAAAAUGUGAUCUUACAUAAUAGUUUAGCUUUUCAUGAAGUUGUUUCCCAGAGGAUAAGCUCUCAAAGGGCACAGAGCCACUGAGGUGGCACAUGUACUUCUUUAUAUCAGAUGCCUAGCAGAUGUCUUACAUUAAUAAACAUUGGCUAAUUGCAUUAAUACAUAUAGCUCAUAUUACAAAAGACUGUCAGUAAAAAUGUGUUAGAAGGCUUUGUUGAGAAACUUGGGGGGUUCGUUAAGAAUUCCAUGCAAUGAGAGACUUUCUGAGGAGUAUGUGAAUCAGAAUGAAGAAAUUAGUUAUUUUGGGGCACAAUUCCCUUUUAAAACCAAGCAAACAUUAAUUUAUUAUGAAAAUAUGACAUGAAAAUAUUUAAAGUAUUUAUCUAUAAUUAAAUAUGCCAAUAUAUUAGCAAGAUUAUUCAAAUUUGUUUCCCUUUUCAAUCUUGAUCCAAAUGUUCAAAUAUUUUGCAGAAUUGGAACUAUGGUCAUAUUCAAUCUAAAGUUCUAUAUUUUAAAAUUAGUAUUGUUUCUCAAUUGUUGUUAGUCUUUGCACAUAUUCUUUUAAUUUAACUACACCUUUAUUACCUGAUACUGUUUUCCUUUAGUUUCUCUAGGUCCAGAUCUUAUGCUACAUGAUUUCAAACUACCUCCAGCUGCCUGAACAUUUUGUUUCACACAUUUCUGCCACUGUAUAACCUCUUCUUUUUGCCUGGAAUGUUCUUCCCUUCCAUCAUCUAAAAAACUAAUCUUUGUUUAAAAUAGAGGUCUACAAACUUGUUUGUUCUUAUACUCUACUACCAAAAAAAUUUUGAACAUCAGCUCCAAAAUGCUCUGCAUAUUUCUUUCUUUCUUUUUUUUUUUCCU